CCGGGAAAUUCUGCACUAGAAUUGAGCUCAAAACAAUUGCCUAAUGUGCGUAAUCUAAAACUGAGAAUAGAGUUUUGGUCUCCAUUUGGGCACAAUCUUAAGAGAGAGAGAGAGAGAACAAAAAAAGAAAAAAAAAACCCUAAAUCAAACCUGCAGUGCGCGCUCUCGAAAUUUGGAAUGGUCGAGCUGUUUGGUUAUAUUUUCCAGAAAUGAAAGUCGAAAAGCGAACUACAGA
rnacentral:misc_RNA from 1 species